GACGAACGCUGGCGGCGUGCUUAACACAUGCAAGUCGAGCGGAAAGGCUCCUUCGGGGGUACUCGAGCGGCGAACGGGUGAGUAACACGUGAGUAAUCUGCCCUGUGCUCUGGGAUAGCCACCGGAAACGGUGAUUAAUACCGGAUAUGACCAGCUACUGCAUGGUGGUUGGUGGAAAGUUUUUCGGCACAGGAUGUGCUCGCGGCCUAUCAGCUUGUUGGUGAGGUAAUGGCUCACCAAGGCUUUGACGGGUAGCCGGCCUGAGAGGGUGACCGGUCACACUGGGACUGAGACGCGGCCCAGACUCCUACGGGAGGCAGCAGUGGGGAAUAUUGGACAAUGGGCGGAAGCCUGAUCCAGCAACGCCGCGUGAGGGAUGACGGCCUUCGGGUUGUAAACCUCUUUCAGUACCGACGAAGCGAAAGUGACGGUAGGUACAGAAGAAGGACCGGCCAACUACGUGCCAGCCGCCGCUGUAAAAC
rnacentral:rRNA from 1 species